rnacentral:rRNA from 1 species
GACGAACGCUGGCGGCAUGCCUAAUACAUGCAAGUCGAGCGGACCCGAGGUGCUUGCACCUCAAUGGGUCAGCGGCGGACGGGUGAGUAACACGUGGGCAACCUGCCCAACAGACUGGGAUAACUCCGGGAAACCGGAGCUAAUACCGGAUAUCCUCUUUUCACCACCUGGUGAAAAGAGAAAAGGCGGUUUCGGCCGCCACUGUUGGAUGGGCCCGCGGCGCAUUAGCUAGUUGGUGAGGUAAGGGCUCACCAAGGCGACGAUGCGUAGCCGAACUGAGAGGGUGAUCGGCCACACUGGAACUGAGACACGGUCCAGACUCCUACGGGAGGCAGCAGUAGGGAAUCAUCCGCAAUGGGCGAAAGCCUGACGGUGCAAUGCCGCGUGAGUGAUGAAGGUUUUCGGAUCGUAAAGCUCUGUUGUGAGGGAAGAACAAGUUCGGGAGGAAAUGCCCGAGCCGUGACGGUACCUCACCAGAAAGCCACGGCUAACUACGUGCCAGCCGCCGCGGUAAAAC